rnacentral:rRNA from 1 species
UACGUAGGGUGCGAGCGUUAAUCGGAAUUACUGGGCGUAAAGCGUGCGCAGGCGGUUUUGUAAGGCAGAUGGGAAAUCCCCGGGCUUAACCUGGGAAUGGCAUUUGGGACUGCAAGGCUGGAGUACGGCAGAGGGGACUGGAAUUCCUGGUGUAGCAGUGAAAUGCGUAGAGAUCAGGAGGAAUACCGAUGGCGAAGGCAGGUCUCUGGGCUGAUACUGACGCUCAUGCACGAAAGCGUGGGGAGCAAACAGG